CACUCGUCACUUCCGGCUCCCAGUGCUCUCUGAAAGUUAGGCUAGCGGAGCUUAGAAGAGAUCCGAUGGUGGAGCCUUCGCUUACCCCUCAGGCGCUCCAGGUUUAGACUAGGUGAGCACUCUGCUCCGGAGGGACAGAUCGCCGGAGACCGCCGGCGGAAGGCGAGUCCUGGAGGGGUUAAGGUUCUGGAGUCGGACCCGGCCCGGCAGUCCCCUGGGCUUGAAAGAUUCGAAUGCCUCCCCAAUUGUCACCCAGGCUGAUCUUUGCACAGCCUGUUGGCUUCUCGUGGAGUUUGUGGACAGUAAAGUAGGAUGGCUGUGCUGCCCAGACAGGAGAAGAAAAAGAGGAGCCUGCUGGUUAAGUUCUGGAGAAAUUUGUUGUUGUUGUUGUUUACUGAACAUGUGAAGGGAGGUAUUCUUUCUGCCUUGCCUGUUUUAUUUUUCAGGAAGCAGGGUUGGGAAUGAACCCUGGAGCUGAGACAGCCAUCCUGAAGCUAUAACAAGCCUAAAGAAUAAAUAAACCCCAGUGUCUUGAAUCCUGGCUGAUGUAUUUAGUGAAUGGCCUAGGGGGCUGAACAACCUGCAUUAAAGCUUGCUGUAGAUACGUGAGACAGAGUCAACUGAGACUGUGGCAGCUCUCCAAAACGGAUGCUGUGCCCGGUUUAAAAAGACAAAGUCAAAUAGAAUGGGGUUUUGGUUCGUACUUUUUUUGUUGUUUUUUUUUUUUUCUGACGACCUCAGUAUGUAACCUACGACUUUCUUUAAACUGGUGUUUCUCCUGCCUGAGCCUUCUGAAUACUAGGAAUGCGGCUAUGCACCAUGGGGUUGGGGUGGUAACCGUUUCUAAAAUAAAAUAAACCUGUAAGGCUUUAAGUAACGCUAAAAAUAAAAAAUAAAAGGGCAUUUUGUACA
rnacentral:lncRNA from 1 species